UAGGUUUUGGGACCUUCCCUAAAACUUGGUUUGCUGAAGGGACUAAAGGCUUAGAUUGUUGACAUCACUUUUUCAUCACCUGAGUAUAGAGCAGUGAUGAGGAGUUUUAUGGGAGCUCUGGUGCUUGGCUUUUGGAACAGAAGAGGAAAUUCAUGCAAAAUAAACUUACUUUCGUCAAUCAACUAGAGAAAACCAUUGUUGAGUCAAUUCAGCAGAUACUGGGAAAAAGGUCAUUGCAUGGUGUUGGACAUCUCAACAUGAAGACACAUCUGGAAAUGUCAAGGAAUUUUUGAUAUCAGAUUCUGUACUAUAAUACAUUCUGAUGAAAAUAAAACACCAUUUCUCACCAAAGGCACUUAAUAUAAGAGGAGAACCAAGUAUGCAGGAAAGCUCAAGGAGGAAUCAGGAGCUCAAAGGGCAAGUAGAAAUACGGUGGGUAAUUAAGUCUAAGUAGAUAAUUGGAUUUCUGCUUUUGAAGUGGCUUCUGUUUGCUCCUGUUUGUGUUCAGGCAUGUGAAGAACUUACUAAUUGUAAACUAAAGGAGGCUGAAGAGAUAGCAUGUUCCUAUCAAGAGAAAAGGCACAGACUGCCAAAAAUAUAUGAAUCCUCUUUCAGGACUUCCCAGUUCCCCGAACAGGUGUGGCAAAGAAGUAAUUUACCACUGAAAUUCGCCACAAAUGUUAGCCAUUAUAAAUGCCAAAAAGAAGAAGAAUGGACUGAGAAACUAACUUCAGUCAAAAUAUGGAGAGUGAUCAAAGAGAAUUGUAUUCAUUAAAAGCACAAGGGAAGAAAGUCAGAGUGGUUUGGCAGAUAGACAAUCAUUCCUGGAGUUAGCAAUACAUUCAAAUCCUUUCUUUGAAACUAACGUCUGUGUGAACCUUUUGUUGUCUAGUCAUUUCAGUUGUGUUCAACUGUGACCCCAUUUGGGGUUUUCUUGGCAAAGGUACUGGAGUGGUCUGCCAUUUCCUUCUCAUGCACAUUUUACAGAUGAGGAAACUGAGGCAAACAGGGUUAAGUGACUUACAUAGGGUCACACAGAGGUCUGAUUUGAAGUUAGAUCUUUUUGACUCCAGUCCAGAAACUGUGCCACCUAGCUGCCCAUUUGAACAUAGGCAAAUCAUUUAACAUAUCAAUUUCCUUAGGCAACUCUGGAUGACUGCAAGUUGUGCAAGAGUUGCACAUCUGCUUCUAUAGAGGGAGCUUCCAAUACCAAUGAAAUAAUAGUUUUGAAUUUUCCUCUCCCCCCAAAAUAAUAAAAAAAACAAGGAUUUUUCAAAGAAGUGAGAAGAACCAGGAUGGGCUGAGGUAGAGGGGAAUCAUAACCUGUGUAAGGUUGAAGAAUGGAGUAAUACAAUUCAAAGCCUGGGCAAAACAAGAAGGGUUCCUGAAUGAUCGGAAUAAGGUAGUGGGUAUGCAUGAAACUCUUCCCAUGGAAAGGGAAACUGAAACAUCUUCAGAGGAGUUAGCUUUUUGUAUUUGAAGGAAUUAUUAUGGCUGUCCACAGAAGUGCUUUUUUAAGUAUUUUAUUGUUCUCCAAUCACAUGUAAAAAUAAAUUUUCAUUUUCAUUUUUAAAA